CUUUAUAGUCCAUAAACUAAGUAGGAGCAGUGGAAUCUCUUUUCCUCAUGUGGCCCGAGAACCUCCUGGACCCCACUCUGUUCCUGGGGAUUCGCCCUUCCCACCAGAGCACCACCAGAGAAGGAAAUAACUGACCCUCCAGCUGACUCCAGCCCCAGCCAACAUCCUCAAGCAAGAACUACUUAUUUCAAUAGGCAGAGUCCACUCUUACAACUG